rnacentral:rRNA from 1 species
GAGCGAACAGACGAGGAGCUUGCUCCUCUGACGUUAGCGGCGGACGGGUGAGUAACACGUGGGUAACCUACCUAUAAGACUGGGAUAACUCCGGGAAACCGGGGCUAAUACCGGAUAAUACAUGAAACCGCAUGGUUUCAUGAUGAAAGACGGUUUUGCUGUCACUUAUAGAUGGACCCGCGGCGUAUUAGCUAGUUGGUAAGGUAACGGCUUACCAAGGCAACGAUACGUAGCCGACCUGAGAGGGUGAUCGGCCACACUGGAACUGAGACACGGUCCAGACUCCUACGGGAGGCAGCAGUAGGGAAACUUCCGCAAUGGGCGAAAGCCUGACGGAGCAACGCCGCGUGAGUGAUGAAGGUCUUCGGAUCGUAAAACUCUGUUAUUAGGGAAGAACAAGGAUGUAAGUAACUGUGCAUCCCUUGACGGUACCUAAUCAGAAAGCCACGGCUAACUACGUGCCAGCAGCCGCGGUAAUACGUAGGUGGCAAGCGUUAUCCGGAAUUAUUGGGCGUAAAGCGCGCGUAGGCGGUUUUUUAAGUCUGAUGUGAAAGCCCACGGCUCAACCGUGGAGGGUCAUUGGAAACUGGAAAACUUGAGUGCAGAAGAGGAAAGUGGAAUUCCAUGUGUAGCGGUGAAAUGCGCAGAGAUAUGGAGGAACACCAGUGGCGAAGGCGACUUUCUGGUCUGUAACUGACGCUGAUGUGCGAAAG